UACGUAGGGUGCAAGCGUUGUCCGGAAUUAUUGGGCGUAAAGAGCUCGUAGGCGGUUUGUCGCGUCUGCUGUGAAAACGCGAGGCUCAACCUCGCGCCUGCAGUGGGUACGGGCAGACUAGAGUGCGGUAGGGGAGAUUGGAAUUCCUGGUGUAGCGGUGGAAUGUGCAGAUAUCAGGAGGAACACCGAUGCGAAGGCAGAUCUCUGGGCCGAUACUGACGCUGAGGAGCGAAAGCGUGGGGAGCGAACAGG
rnacentral:rRNA from 1 species